rnacentral:lncRNA from 1 species
GCUUGCUGGGUGGGAUCAUAUAGAAUUUUCCUUGAGAGGCUUCCAUCAGCACACUCAUAUCUCAGAAGGAAGAGCUGUCUGCCUUAUCUUGCAAAAAACUUUGGUCAUGAAUUAGAGGCAGCACAUGGAAGCUGACAUCGUGAAUUUUUGCCCCAGAACAACUGCAGGAAUAAAUCAGGUCCUCUCAGGAGAGGACCCACAGACCUCCUGAAGGAAGCAGAUUGCUCCUGCAGGACCAGGGAGACACCUCAAAUACUGUGAGUG